UUUAAUGAUCAUAAUGAUUUUUUAGUAAAUAAUUAUAUAGGGUGGGCCAUAUAAAUUUUUCAAUUUCGAAGAUAGGGCAGAAAAGAUUGAGUGUAACGUUUGCUGUAUGGCACGUAGCGCCGUCCUGCUGGAACCAAAUGUUGUCCAAGCCUUCCUCUUCAAUUUGCUUGAAGAAAAAUUCGGUCAACAUUGCGCGAUAUAGCUGACCAUUGAUGGUUGCGGUUCCUUCUUCAUUUUCGAAGAAAAAUGGGCCGAUGAUUCCACCAGACCAAAAUCCGCACCAUACAGUGAUUCGUGCUGGGUGCAUUGGCUUCUCGACGAUUACGUGCGGGUUUUCUGUGCCCCAAAUGCGACAAUUCUGCUUGUUAACGUAACCAUCGAGGUGGAAAUGAGCCUCGUCCGAAAAGAUGAUUUUUCGGUAAAAUUUACCAUCCUCGGUCAAACGAUCUGCUGCCCAAUCUGCGACCUGUAGACGGCUUUUUCCUAGUAAAUAGCGACCCAUUUCGUAAAUUUUGGACUUUUUACUGAAUAUCUGUCACUUUCCGAAUGGUAUUUGACGUUUUCAAUGUCGAAAUAUAGAUAACUCAAACUUAAAAUGUUAGAUGGCCAACGCGUUAUAAAAAAUGUUAUAGAGUUCAAUAUUAAAUAGGGACAGCAACCUAUUGUGACUGUUGAGCUGAUAGCAUCACUGGUGUAAUUUCUUAAAAAGAAUAAAUAAAUUUAAAUUUAAAAAGCGUUUGUUUUUUUAUUAAACGAAAAAGGAAGAACAAAGCUGACUGAUUUCAAGAACACAAAAAAAAACUUUUGGAAUGCUGGCUGGAAUGCUUGAAAAUCUUGGCUCAAUUAUAGAAGCUUGUGUUACUUCGGAGUGUAUUUCCUUUUGCAAAGAAAAAGAUGUUUAAUCCAUAAUAUCAAAAGAACUGUUUUUUGUUUUUAUCAUA